rnacentral:rRNA from 1 species
AAACUGGGAUUAGAUACCCCACUAUGCUUUGCCCUAAACAUUGAUAGUUCUAUACAACCACUAUCCGCCUGGGAACUACGAGCAGCAGCUUAAAACCCAAAGGACUUGGCGGUGCUUUAGACCCACCUAGAGGAGCCUGUUCUAAAACCGAUAACCCCCGUUCAACCUCACCUUUUCUUGCUCUCCCCGCCUAUAUACCGCCGUCGUCAGCUUACCCUAUGAAGGCCCUUUAGUAAGCACAAUUGGUACAACCCAAAACGUCAGGUCGAGGUGUAGCGUAUGAAAAGGGAAGAAAUGGGCUACAUUCCCUACAACAGGGAAUUACGGAUAAUAUCACUGAAACGUGUAUCUAGAAGGAGGAUUUAGCAGUAAGCAGAAAAUAGAGUGUUCUACUGAAGCUGGCUCUGAAGCGCGCACACACCGCCCGCCCGGUCACCCUC